rnacentral:rRNA from 1 species
GACGAACGCUGGCGGCGUGCUUAACACAUGCAAGUCGAACGGUGAAGCUCCAGCUUGCUGGCGUGGAUCAGUGGCGAACGGGUGAGUAACACGUGAGCAACCUGCCCCUGACUCUGGAAUAAGCGCUGGAAACGGCGUCUAAUACUGGAUACGAGAAGGGUCCGCAUGGGCACUUUCUGGAAAGUACUUCGGUUGGGGAUGGGUUCGCGGGCUAUCAGCUUGUUGGGGAGGUAAGGGUUGACCAAGGCUACGACGGGUAGCCGGCCUGGGAGGGCGACCGGCCACAAUGGGACUGAGACACGGCGCAGACGCCAACGGGAGGCAACAGGGGGGAAUCUGGCGCAGUGGGGGAAAGCCUGAGACAGCGACGCCGCGUGAGGGAUGACGGCUUUCGGGUUGUAAACCUCUUUCAGCAGAGAAGAAGAGAAAGUGACGGUACCUGCAGAAGAAGCACCGGCUAACUACGUG